rnacentral:lncRNA from 1 species
UAUAGUAGAGCUCGCUUACCAGACGAAACCAGGCCUUUAAGGUAAGGCUGGAGUGGAAGGGAGAGUACGGUAGAAGAUCGAAGAGAAUCUGGUUCGAGGAGCCUAGCCUUCUUUGCUAUUAGUUUCAAUAUCUGCUGCUUUUGUUUGCGCCAACCCUCUUAGAAGGAAGAACUCUGGGGACUUCCGGAUUAACUGAUUAAGGAGUUAGCGGGAAGAAGAUUAGCAGUACGAGGAGGCGAUUCAGCAAGCUAGCCACACCUCCAUCACCUGACACUUUCUUAUUCACAGUUUCACACCGUAGAGAGAGUGCUAGAGAACUGGAUUUUGUUACAGAGUGAGUAAAGUGUGGAAUCUGUGGGUUAUGUGAGCGCGACUGUGAGGAAUGAGGGAGCGGCGCUGGAGAGAAAAGUA